CGGAAUUACUGGGCGUAAAGCGCAUGCAGGUGGUUUGUUAAGUCAGAUGUGAAAGCCCGGGGCUCAACCUCGGAAUUGCAUUUGAAACUGGCAAACUAGAGUACUGUAGAGGGGGUAGAAUUUCAGGUGUAGCGGUGAAAUGCGUAGAGAUCUGAAGGAAUACCGGUGGCGAAGGCGGCCCCCUGGACAGAUACUGACACUCAGAUGCGAAAGCGUGGGGAGCAAACAGGAUUAGAUACCCCUGGUAG
rnacentral:rRNA from 1 species